GCUGUAGCUCAGUGGUAAAGCAUCUGCUUUGCAUUCAAAAGGUCCCAGGUUCAAUCCCUGGCAUAUCCA